GAUGAACGCUGGCGGCGUGCCUAACACAUGCAAGUCGAGCGAAGCGCCUUACUUGAUUUCUUCGGGAUGAAAGUAUUGUGACUGAGCGGCGGACGGGUGAGUAACGCGUGGAUAACCUGCCUCAUACAGGGGGAUAACAGUUAGAAAUGACUGCUAAUACCGCAUAAGACCACAGCACCGCAUGGUGCAGGGGUAAAAACUCCGGUGGUAUGAGAUGGAUCCGCGUCUGAUUAGCUAGUUGGUAAGGUAACGGCUCACCAAGGCGACGAUCAGUAGCCGACCUGAGAGGGUGACCGGCCACAUUGGGACUGAGACACGGCCCAA
rnacentral:rRNA from 1 species